rnacentral:misc_RNA from 1 species
GUGGAGUUUAAUUCCACAAAGAAGAUGGUGGACAGUAUGGACAGAAAGAAACAGUAGAAAUUUUGAAGAUCCAGUUCCAUUCAUAAAGUUAAAUGCAACUGUAUUGUAGCUUUAUUUAUUUUUUGGUGUAAAGAAUCAGGCCUAGAGGAUUCAGAAGUCAGAACAGUUUAUAGAAUUCUUCGGAUCUGCUUAAGUAUUUAAUUUUUCAGUUUGUAAGGUCCCUG